rnacentral:rRNA from 1 species
UAAGCGGAGGAAAAGAAACUAACAGGAAUUCCCUUAGUAGCGGCGAGCGAAGCGGGAUGAGCUCAAAUUUGAAAUCUGGCGUCUUUCAGGCGUCCGAGUUGUAAUCUAUAGAAGCGUUUUCUGUGCUGGACCGUGUCCAAGUCCCUUGGAACAGGGUAUCAAAGAGGGUGACAAUCCCGUACUUGACACGACCACCAGUGCUCUGUGAUACGUUUUCGACGAGUCGAGUUGUUUGGGAAUGCAGCUCAAAAUGGGUGGUAAAUUCCAUCUAAAGCUAAAUAUUGGCGAGAGACCGAUAGCGAACAAGUACCGUGAGGGAAAGAUGAAAAGCACUUUGGAAAGAGAGUUAAACAGUACGUGAAAUUGUUGAAAGGGAAACGAUUGAAGUCAGUCGUGUCUAUUGGUUUCAGCCGGUCCUGCCGGUGUAUUACCUUUAGACGGGUCAACAUCAGUUUUGGACGGCAGACCAAGGGCAGUUUGAAGGUAGCACCUCCGGGUGUGUUAUAGCUUUCUGCCGCAUGUGCUGUCCGAGACUGAGGACUGCAGCUCGCCUUUUAGGCCGGGGUUCGCCCACGUUCGAGCUUAGGAUGUUGACAUAAUGGCU